rnacentral:rRNA from 1 species
UACGUAGGGUGCAAGCGUUAAUCGGAAUUACUGGGCGUAAAGCGUGCGCAGGCGGCUUUGCAAGACAGAUGUGAAAUCCCCAGGCUUAACCUGGGAACUGCAUUCGAGACUGCAUGGCUAGAGUAUGGGAGAGGGAAGUGGAAUUUCAGGUGUAGCGGUGAAAUGCGUAGAUAUCUGAAGGAACAUCAGUGGCGAAAGCGACUUCCUGGACCAAUACUGACGCUCAUGUGCGAAAGCGUGGGGAGCAAACAGG